rnacentral:misc_RNA from 1 species
AAGAAGAGUAUUGAGUAGUAUAAAAAUUUUAUAAGUAUUAGUCUGAGACAUCCUAAUUACGUAGCUUCAUUCUCACUAAAAGACACAAAACUAACAGACACUUCAACAAAGCAAAAACAUGAAUCAGAUGAUUUCAGCAAUUCCCCUGUCAAUUCAAUGGAGUUAGCCCAGAAGGGGCUCAAAUUAUCAGCCUCUGAAGCAAAAUCAUGUCACCCAUGGACCAUGUUAAGCGUUUUUAGCUGUCGAAAUCAUUCACAGAUCCACCAUUGUCCCAGCAAGACUCAAUAUCUCACGGA